CAUUCAUCUGUUGAUGGGCACCUAGGUUGCUUGUAUAUCUUGGCUAUUGUAAAUAAUGGUCCUCUGCAGUGAACAUAGAGGCACAUAUAUCUUUUUUGAUAUGUACAGAUUUUUUUCAAUAAGCAUAAUGGAAAAUUUUUUGGAGAUUUGUGACAAUUUGAAAAAACUUGUAGAUGAACAGCAUAGCCUAGAAAUACCAAAAAAAAUUAAGAAAACAUUAGGUGUCAUUGUAAUAAUACAGCAUAUAAUAUAUGUAAUGUACAAAGUAUGUGUAAUCAACUAUGUUAUCAUAAAGUUUCUGGUCAAUAGUAAGCCAUGAGUGGUUAAGUUUUGGGGGAGUCAGAAGUUACCUGCGGAUUUUUGACUGGAUGGGGCGGGGGGUCAGCACCGAUAACCCUUGUGUUGUUCAAGGUUCAACUGUAUGUACUUUUUGUAAGAGACUUUCCUAAAAAGAGAAAUAAGGAAAAAGAAAUUGAAGGUAGUAACAGCAGUAUUAGACGAAUGAGAAUUUAAGGCAAAAAAGUAUUAACAGGAUCAAGGAAGGUUUUUGUUUUUUUUUAAAGGAAAAUCCACCAAGCACGUAAACAGUAAUGAACAGUGUGACAGUCAUAAAAUAAAAAGGAAAAUUGAAAAUUUUAACACAGCUCUAUCAGAAAUGAUACAACAAGCAGCCUGAAAGUUAGCAAGCUCGUCUAAUAAGGUUUAUCGAGGACCCUUCACUCAAUAAUAAGCAGAGAACACACAUUCUUUCCAAGUAGUUGAGAAACAUUUACAACAGUGAAGAUUAGCAGAUGAUAUUAUAAAUAGUUAAAAAUAAAUAAAUAAAUAAAAUACUAUAAAUAGUUGGUAGGUAUAAAUAUAAAACAUUUUUGUUUUCCAUACAUUUACUAAGACAAGAAUAAUUUAUUUAAACCAUCGUUUCUUGGUUUAAAAUACUGCUGAGAUUAUAUUAGAAUAUUGAACAAUUAGAUUUCAAGAUACAGUUAUUGGACCAGGUGAUCUCGUGGCUCCAGGGAGGCUUUGGACGGUACCACAGGUGGGAUGACAAGUAGAAGGACCGCACUCUGCCCAGGAGGUGUGCCCGGAACCAGAAAGGACGUCAGCAUCAGAGAAGGAGAACAGCUCAGGAGCAGGGGAUGGAUGAAGCCGUUUGCCAAAACUUCUGAGGAGAGCUGAAAGAUAAAAAAAAUGUCAUCGAUAAAUAAAUAGGGGCUGCAACCAAGCAUAAAGGGAGUGAGCAAGAGAGACAUUUGGGGCCAUUUCUUUGGCCCCAGUUUCUAUCUAUUUUAAGUUUAUUUUUUUAGCAAACAAAAAAAAAAUGGGGCUCCCAACUCAAGACCCUGAGAUCAAGAGUCAAGUGCUUUUCCAGCUCAGCCGGCCAGGCGCCCCGAGUUUCUAUCUUUCUAAUAUUAUACCCAAUGCAGGACAUCUGGGUUAUCCCAGACCAGUGACUCUUUUGAUUUACAUGAGUCCUAAACUUUGUUUUAAAAUUUCGAUGCAUGAUUUCUGAAGUCACACUUUUUGUUGAAAAUUUAAAGUUAGGGAUCCCUGGGUGGCGCAGCGGUUUGGCGCCUGCCUUUGGCCCAGGGUGUGAUCCUGGAAUCCUGGGAUCGAGUCCCACGUCAGGCUCCCGGUGCAUGGAGCCUGCUUCUCCCUCUGCCUAUGUCUCUGCCUCUCUCUCUCUCUCUGUGUGACUAUCAUAAAUAAAUAAAAAUUAAAAAAAAGAAAAUUUAAAAUUAGAAAAUUUCUAGCAUGUAGAAACAUGCUAUUCUGGGAGCUUUGCUUCUUUUUGAGUUGGAGAGCUUUUUCCAGCAGACAUAAGAGUGAAGGAAUGCGGUGUGCUGCCCUCGGCCUAUGAAAGGAGGCUUGUGUCCUCCGGCAGCGACGUCUCAGAGCCCCGGUCCAGAGGGAACAGACCCAGACUCUGGGCCAACACGGCGUGAAUGCACACUCAGAGACACGGAGGGCGGAGAGCAGGAAGGCCUUGUUUAAACUGUGGUUGCGGUGAAAAUCUUUGGAGGAAGAAGAAUUCACGAUGAAUUUACUAAGAGCAUUUGUCUAAAAGGGUAAGAUUCGCGAUUGCGAUAUGAACCUGAGUGACCCUGGGAAUGAGCAGGACGUAGGGCACGAGAACGAAUCAUCACCCUCCUUGUGGAUUGGCCCGGGUGUUUGUAACCUGGGGUACCUGUGACACUGCCCCUUGCCAGUUCACUCUGGAGGUUCUCAUGGUGAAAAUUCUCUGGAUGAGCAAGGAUUCUCUAUAAAAGGGAAAAAGAGCAAGAUCUCCUUCAAGUGUCAGUAUCUUUAUCAAAUGAACACUUGCCACGCCUUCCUCAAGGAUGUCGUUUAGUGACUCUUCAUGAAAUCGGCUUGUGCGGCGGCGGGGCCGGUGGCUCACCUGGAGGCCACGGUGCUGGGGGGCGAGCAGGGCGCCGGCCGGGCUGCCAGGUACCACCGCAGCCGCGGGCGUCAGGGACAGCUGGUCGCUGUGGGUGUCCCCAGGGCCCCGCUGCAGGUUCCCCAGGCCACACCUCGUGAAGAGCUGCCCUGGGCUUCCAGGGUGGCUGGUGGCGGCCCCGGGGAGCUCAAGGCCCAGGACGGGAGGCCGGUGGACCAGCAGGCGAGGUGACUCCAGGGUGUGAAGAGGAGACCGGGGGGGCCGAGCCGGGUGGUGAGGGAGGCAGGAGGGGCUGCUUGACCUCUGACCCGAGGGCUCCAGGUAGACAGGUCUGGCUUGCACAGCCCCGGGGAGGGGCAGUCUGACCCGGAUUCCUUCGGGAGGGACUCCGUGGGGUCGCUGGGAGCCACAACAGUGCGAGGGGCCUGGUGGAGCAGCCGGUGAGCAGUGGCUCCUGGGUUUGCCUCGGGUCCUGAUCUGGGGGUUGUGGGUUCCAGGCCCGCGUGGGACUCAGCGCUCAGUGCAGAGUCUGCUUGAGAUUCUCUCUCCCUGUCCCCUGCCCUCUGGCUCAUGUGCUCACACGCGCCCUCUCUCUCUCUCAAAUAAACAAAUUAUUAAAAAAUGAUAGUACUAAGUACUAUA